rnacentral:rRNA from 1 species
AACGUAGGUGGCGAGCGUUAUCCGGAUUUACUGGGCGUAAAGCGUGUGCAGGCGGGGUGACAAGUGGGGUAUGAAAUCUCCGGGCUAAACCUGGAGGGGUUAUGCCAGACUGUCAUUCUAGAGUGCGAGAGAGGGGCGUGGAAUUCCGGGUGUAGUGGUGAAAUGCGUAGAUAUCAGGAGGAACACCGGUGGUGUAGACGGCUUUCUGGACCGUAACUGACGCUGAGACACGAAAGCGUGGGUAGCAAACAGG